CCUCGGGAGGCUGCAGUGGGGAAUAUUGGACAAUGGGCGAAAGCCUGAUCCAGCCAUGCCGCGUGUGUGAAGAAGGCCUUCGGGUUGUAAAGCACUUUCAGUGGGGAAGAAAGCCUUGGGGCUAAUACCCUCGAGGAAGGACAUCACCCACAGAAGAAGCACCGGCUAACUCCGUGCCAGCAGCCGCGGUAAUACGGAGGGUGCGAGCGUUAAUCGGAAUUACUGGGCGUAAAGCGCGCGUAGGCGGUCUGAUAAGCCGGUUGUGAAAGCCCCGGGCUCAACCUGGGAACGGCAUCCGGAACUGUCAGGCUAGAGUGCAGGAGAGGAAGGUAGAAUUCCCGGUGUAGCGGUGAAAUGCGUAGAGAUCGGGAGGAAUACCAGUGGCGAAGGCGGCCUUCUGGACUGACACUGACGCUGAGGUGCGAAAGCGUGGGUAGCAAACAGGAUUAGAUACCCGAGUAGUC
rnacentral:rRNA from 1 species